GAAUUAUACGAAGGACCUGGCCGCAAGAAGGCAUUGAGCCCCGAGGAGGACAACAGGCCUCAGCUCUUGGCACCAAGUAACUAUGAAGACUCUGAGAACUGGACCAUCCCAAGGCUGUAGCUUUCUUCAAGCCUGGCAGGCUCUGUCGUGGUGAAGAGUCUGAAGGCUUUUUCUUUUCCAGAUGUAAUUAUUAACCAACAUUCACAUCAGAUUCACAAUUGGAAACCCAGCUGUUAAACAUUUACCAGCACACUACUGGAAAGAAGUGCAUAUGGACUACUCGCUUGGGAUUCCAGAAGAAAGAACGUUAUAGAACACCUACAACUUGGCAAUCAGGGGCCUGAGGUACAGCUGAAGUACAGCUGUGGAAGAGGAGAUGCUAAUUCCUGGAGAGAGAGCAACACAGAUUUUACAGUCAGCAGCCAGAGACUACCCUCAGAACAGGAAUGUGAAAAAUAAACCAGAUAUGCUGAACUGGAUACCAACAAGGUUAAAUGGUGGAAAAGCCAUAAUCACUUCUAAAUUCAAGGGUAGGAUUAAUACUGUAUUUUCACAGUACCUGAAAGUUCUGUGGCCUUUCCUAGACACCAGUUCAUGUGAUCACCAGAACAGAACUGAGGUUGAGGGGAAAGUUAGCUAUCAGCAUUGGGCCCAUUUUACAGAUGGGAAACUGAGGCAGUGGAAGGUAAAGUAGUUUGCCCAAGGUUACUGUUUCUGCAUAAAUGGCUGCCCUGGGACUAGAUGGGA
rnacentral:lncRNA from 1 species